UUCAGUAACACCAAGACAAGUCAGGUCUCUCCUGGAAUGUACUAACCAAAGGGGCAUCUAGAAUGAGAUGGAAAAAGCAGGGAGUGUCAUUAGGACCUCUUCCUUCUUUUUGCUUUGAAAAUCCAGGGAUUUGGUAGUUUUCAGAUGUGAAGAGUUACCUUAAACUAGAUGAUAACAGAAAAAAAAAAAAACAGACUGUAGGAACCAACAGUCCCACAGCCACCUCCAAGCUGGAGAUCGCCAACAGAUAAAACCAGGUGCUAAGCAUCUUGCUGUAAUUAGACAUUUGAAUCUUCCAGAAUUUAAGGCUAGUAAGGAUGUCGUAACUACCGAAGGAGAUCCUUUAUUUGAAUUAGUGCCUUCUACCCCUACAACAAUUCAGCAAAAGGGAAUUAAUAACUGGAAGGGACCGCGGUCCUGAUGGCUAGUCAUUUUCUUCCCGGUUGCUAUCACCCAGAGGAGAAGCAAGUAACAGUGCUGCAAUAAAUAAAGGAACGUGUGAGUUCCCCGCCUUAGCAGAGGCUUCUUACUGGAUUAAUGGCCUGGUACAUGAAUCACAGUGACUGUCGGAGCAGAACGAAGUGCUGGCCGGAGCCUCUAAAGAAGUCCUGAUAGCUGUACUGAUUGAAGCCUUUUUAAGUCAUUUUUUGACUGAGUGGCUCAGCAAAUGAAGCAUUGUGUUUUCGGAGAGCUGGAGAGAGUUCACUAGCAGACUUGCUUCCUGAGGCCAGAGUGCCUCCUUGACAGGCUUUUACACAAAGAAGAGAAGGAAGGCAGGGACACAGGAGUGCCAUCUACAGAGAGUCGACUUGAGACUGGGUCCCAAAGCCUGGCAGAGGAGAUACUCUGUGUUAACCUGCGUGGUGCUGCUACAGCAAAACACCAGAGGCUGGGCACAGUGUAAAAGAAAGGACCUGGAGAUCAAGAAACACUGACAUGUAUUUGAUUCUGGACACUCAGGGACACAUUUGCUCCCUCAGCUUCAAACAGAAACGUCCAAGCAACUCAGUGCAGCCUCCAGCACUGAGUAGACAGAAAGUGCAACAUCACACAUGCUUCCUCUGUCACUUCAAGUACAGGUUCAUCUUCUGCAGCUCUACCAACCUACAGCCCCAAGCAGUAUCGCCUCUCACCCUGACACUACUUGAGAGUUUCCAGGGCCAACGAAGGGAAAUGAAGAUGAGGAGGAGCAAGGCGUUCAAAGGAGCCAACAGGAGCAGCCAUUUGCUACUUCUUCCCUCCAGAUUGUUAGCAACAAUGAGACGUAGCGCUGCCAGUCUGCUGCCAGCUGUCAAUCACUGUCCUGCGCUAGCACUGGCUGGCUCAGCAUCAGGUUUUUCCUUACUACUUUCAUCUAGAGUGGAUACCUUUUCCUGGAAAUACGGCAAAAGUUCCAAUAUGGCUUCAUGUUCUUCUCACUCAGAAUGUUCAAAAUACUGGUCUACUGUCUCAGACAUCCUUGCUGCUGUGACCUGAGCUGAUCACUCCACCCAACUAAUGGGCUCACAGGGUAGGCAUGCUGGGAAUUUGGGAAAUUAUUUCUUCCAUAUCAAACAACAAAAUAAAAUGCAUGGCCAC